UGAAUUUACUACUGUACCAAUCACAAAUUGUUUAGGAAAGAAGAAAAAUACAAACUUUCUCUUCGAUCAACAAGUCAAGGGUUUAUAGACUAUCUAAGGAUCCGUUAACUCCAAAGGACGAACCAGAGGAAAAAAAAUAAAUUGAGUGUACUUGGGACGCUACUAUCAAUAAAAUUAUGUUGACCAUCAAGUGAUGAAUGUAAAAAAGUGGCCAGCAAUGACGUUAAAAUGCCGAAAAAGCCCCUAAGGCAUCGGAAGUUGUUUUGGAGAGAUAAUACUGAGAUAAAUGCAAGACCCGGAAGAAAACUUACAGGCCUGAGGGAAAUCAUUGAGUCCAAAAAAAGAAUCCAAAGCUACAUUUUUAACAGUUUAAUGUUAAACAACAUGCUUAAAGUAAUUGACACCGAGUAAUAGCUUAUUAUUUAGUAAAUCAAGUUUGUAGGAACUUGAUUAAGCCUCAACGUAUUAAUCGGUUGACUUCUUCACUUGAUGUGCAUCCUGAUUACUUUCAUUUCCCUCUUACAAUGACACCAUGACCUGGUGAACUCUCGCCCUCUUCUCACCGAGUUUUCCACUUUAAUACACAUCACAUAACUUUUCUUUUAUCUAGUUGAAAUUUUCAGUGGAUUAUUUUCAGAGAGAACGUUCUGGAAAAUCUUGCGACCAUGAAAAAGUUCUAAGACUACUUUAACUUGAGUGAAUAGAUAAAAGAGUGAACGACGUUAAUAUCCAUGUAACAUGAAACGUCUGGAUUACUUCAAUUGGUCAAGGAUAGAAAGAAAGAGUUAGAGCUUAUAAUCUUUCUUUUUUAUUGUAUAAAAAUGGAGUGAUAUCAUGAAAAUGUGAUAUCAUACGUCUUAUAUAUAGAAAGAAGCAACUACUCCCAUAGAGCUGGGACAAAUGUGACACAGAAAUUCCAAGACGAUCGUCUCUUUGCUUUUUACGUCUAAAGAUCGAUAAUAAUAUACUAGGAAAUGAAGAAUUCCGGCUUUGAUAAACUUUUGAAAAAGAAACAACGCUUCUGAAGCAAACAGCUCAGUCUUUUAUUCCGUUACAUUAUAUUAAUCUAUUUAUAAACUUUCAUAAUCAUAAUUAAAC